AAGUAACCAGGAUGCAUAUUCUUCUCUUUGUCAAACACUUCACACACCCUUUGCUUACAUGCAGCAGUGAUUGCUCAGCAACAGAGUUGCUGGAGUUGCCAGUGUGAUCCUGUAUCUCAGCAAAAGGCUAAGAACUAAAAGUGACCCCCCAAAAGAACAGCCAAGGUUGUGACAGAGGGAGCUGCAGGGGAAAGGGCCGUGAAGUGAUAUGCCAAGUUAUAGCUCACAGUGUUCUGUAAAAAAGAAUGCCAAGACAAGAACAAGGUUCAUUUUACACAGACUGCUCCUGCACAAGCAAGAUGAAAAGCCCAUGGAACGGCAUGAAGGAGAAGACAAAUCAAAGUGGAACAUUCUAUAGUUCCUGGGUCAUUAGCCAUCACAUGCCAUGGACAAGCACUUCUAGUGGGGGAGGAACUUUACAAGGAGGCGGUGGAUGUCCUGAAUCGGGGGCUGGAGGCCGUGACGGGUUGGAUGUGGGCCAAUAAACUGAAAUUGAAUCCAGACAAGACGGAGGUCUAUGCUUCUGUCAAGUGCCAGCGGAGCUCUGUGGAGUAUUCGGAUUCAGCUGAAACUUCUCACAAGUCUAAUAAACAAUUAGUCAGGAACCCAGUUCGGGUCGAUGGAAGCCAACACUAGUUCUCGAGCCUUGUCAUGAAGAACACUCAUUUAGGAGAUGGAAACUCUAAGUUAAGCUGCCAGCAGUGUGGGUUGUGUGGGUGCGCGGCUUGCACGUUGAAGGAGCACAGAUCACUCAUCUGGGGGAAGAUAGGUUGAGCCUGCCUUACCCCCCAGCCGGCCACCCAGUUGUGUGAAUA